rnacentral:snRNA from 1 species
AUAGAGACCUGGCAUAUACUAUAUAUAGAAAAACUGGAGCGAUACAGAUAAGAUUGGCGUGGUUUCUGAGAGAGGAUGACACACAAAAUCGUGAAGUGUUCCGUGCUACU